UCUUUUAAUUGAAGGCUUGUAUGAAUGGUUGGACGAAAUAUUAACUUGUUUCAUAAAAAAUUUAGAACUUUAUUUUUUAGUUUAAAAGCUAAGAUUUACUUAAAAGACGAGAAGACCCUAUAGAUCUUAAUAAUUGAUUUAUUUUAUUUAUAAAGAAUAUUUAAAAUUAAAUAUAGUAAAUUAUUUUAUUGGGGUGAUAAUAAGAUUUAAUAAACUCUUAUAUUAUAUAACAUAAAUUAAUGAUUGAUUGAUCCAUUAAUAAUGAUUAGUAAUUUAAGUUACCUUAGGGAUAACAGCGUAAUUUUUUUGGAGAGUUCAUAUCGAUAAAAAAUAUUGC
rnacentral:rRNA from 1 species